CUGACCGCAAAUAUUUGAGUGCCGCCGUUGUUCUGUUUCAGUGGGCGAGGCAUUUGACGGACAUGCGCGUGAAACUUUCUGAGAGUUAAAAAACGGGCAAAAACAUGGCGAAGAAAGGUUUUACAAUAGAGGAGGCGGUUGAUUUGAUCUUUGAUGACACCUGGGAAGAGGCUGAGCAUGACUCUUCGGACCCAGAGUCUGUGUAUUCAGACGUUGAGGAGGCGUAUGCUGCUGGCAUUGAUCCAGAUGUUGAUUGGUGUUUAUGACCUCUCCGUCGAAAUAUUGACUGAAAAUAUCAAGUGGAGACAUUUUUCCAAAUUGUGAAGAAAACAUUCAGAGCAGAAUGACCGCAGUACCUUCUCAAUGUCCUCCAGUUUGAGAUGCGCAGCUGCCUCGUCCUUCGUAAGGAGGAUGCAGUUCCAUGGGCUCCAGUCCAAAUGCUUCUCCC